rnacentral:rRNA from 1 species
UAUAACAUAGUGUUAAUGCAUCGGAUCCCAUUAGAACUCCCCAGUUAAGCACACUCAGGCUAGAGUAGUACUGGGAUGGGUCAUUUCCUGGGAAUUCCUAGUGUUUUAC